UACGGCAUUGUUCUUAGUAUAAGCACUAUACAGUGAAACUGCGAAUGGCUCAUUAAAUCAGUUAUCGUUUAUUUGAUAGUACCUUACUACUUGGAUAACCGUGGUAAUUCUAGAGCUAAUACAUGCUAAAAAUCCCGACCUCUGGAAGGGAUGUAUUUAUUAGAUAAAAAACCAAUGCCCUCGGGCUCCUUGGUGAUUCAUAAUAACUUAACGAAUCGCAUGGCCUUGCGCCGGCGAUGGUUCAUUCAAAUUUCUGCCCUAUCAACUUUCGAUGGUAGGAUAGUGGCCUACCAUGGUUUCAACGGGUAACGGGGAAUUAGGGUUCGAUUCCGGAGAGGGAGCCUGAGAAACGGCUACCACAUCCAAGGAAGGCAGCAGGCGCGCAAAUUACCCAAUCCCAAUUCGGGGAGGUAGUGACAAUAAAUACUGAUACAGGGCUCUUUUGGGUCUUGUAAUUGGAAUGAGUACAAUUUAAAUCUCUUAACGAGGAACAAUUGGAGGGCAAGUCUGGGCCC
rnacentral:rRNA from 1 species